rnacentral:lncRNA from 1 species
UCCCCUUGUGUCCAUCCUUCUGUCCCUGUCCCCUGUGUCCAUCCUUCUGUCCCUGUCCCGUGUCNNNNNNNNNNUUCUGUCCCUGUCCCCUGUGUCCAUCCUUCUGUCCCUGUCCCGUGUCCAUCUUUCUGUCCCUGUCCCCUGUGUCCAUCCUUCUGUCCCUGUCCCGUGUCCAUCCCGCUGUCCCUGUCCCCCGUGUCCAUCCCGCUGUCCCUGUCCCCUGUGUCCAUCCCGCUGUCCCUGUAUCCAUCCAUCCCCACGUCCCCAUCCCUGUCCCUCCCCGUGUCCCCGUCUGUCCCCAUGCCCCAUCCAUCCAUGUCCCCCGUCUGUCCGUGUCUGUCACUCUGUCCCUGUGGCUGUCCCAUCCCCACGCCCCAUCCAUCCAUGUCCGUCUGUCUGUCCCCAUCCCUGUCCUCCUGUCCCCUUCCCUCUCCGUGUCUGUCCCCAAACCGGCUCCCCUGUCCCUGCUCCAUCCCUGUGUCCGUUUGUCUGUCCCUGUGUCCCUCUCCCAUCCAUUCCCUGUCUCCCAUCCCUAUCCAUGUCCCACUGUACACCUGUCCCGCAAACCACGCGUGUCCCUCUGUCUUGUCCCCACCCUCCCCGUGUCCCCAUGUCCGUCCCUGUGUCCCUCCGUCUGUCCCUCCCGGUGUCCGCAUGUCUGUCCCGCCCCGUGUUCCCGUGUCCAUCCCCACUCUCCCUUUGUCCCUCCCACCCUCCCCGUCUCCCUUUGUCCCUGCCGCUGUCCCUCUGUCUGUCCGUUCCCGUGUCCCUCUGUCCCUCCCGCCCUCCCCGUCUCCCUCUGUCUGUCCCUCCCCGUGUCCCCGUGUCCCCCUGUCUGUCCCCCCCUCCCCGUGUCCCCCCCGUGUCCCCCCGCAGUUUUCGUCUGCCCGGGGGUGCCGCAGCGCGUGGGGCCGGCGCUGUCCACGCACGAGUCUCCGCACCAGGCGGGCGGCUGGUGCCGGGACCCGCUGCAGUCGGGGGACCGGCUCUACGUGCUGCCCUGGGUGCCGUACCGCACCGACACGCUCACCGAGUACGCCUCCUGGGCCGACCUGGUGGGCGCCCGGCCCGCGGCCACG